rnacentral:rRNA from 1 species
GACGAACGCUGGCGGCGUGCUUAACACAUGCAAGUCGAACGGAAAGGCCCUGCUUUUGUGGGGUGCUCGAGUGGCGAACGGGUGAGUAACACGUGAGUAACCUGCCCUUGACUUUGGGAUAACUUCAGGAAACUGGGGCUAAUACCGGAUAGGAGCUCCUGCUGCAUGGUGGGGGUUGGAAAGUUUCGGCGGUUGGGGAUGGACUCGCGGCUUAUCAGCUUGUUGGUGGGGUAGUGGCUUACCAAGGCUUUGACGGGUAGCCGGCCUGAGAGGGUGACCGGCCACAUUGGGACUGAGAUACGGCCCAGUCGCCUACGGGAGGCAGCAGGGGGGAAUAUUGCACAAUGGGCGGAAGCCUGAAGCAGCAACGCCGCGUGCGGGAUGACGGCCUUCGGGUUGUAAACCGCUUUCGCCUGUGACGAAGCGUGAGUGACGGUAAUGGGUAAAGAAGCACCGGCUAACUACGUG